AUGAAGGAAUCCCAAGUCAAUGAUCCGAGGCAAAACAUUGAAACCCAACAAUGUGAGACUUCAAAGGCCAAAUCAAAGCUGAAGACCGCUUUGGAAAACAUUGAAAAGCUGAAAAAGGACUUUAGUGCUGAGAGAACCGGCUGGGAGACCGAGAAGACGACUUUGUUAAAGAGAGUAGAAGAUGCUGAGGCUGCUCUUAAACCGGUGACUGACGAGUUAUCCGGCUUAAGGCAUCAAAUCAACAAUAUGACAGCUGCCAUCUUUGGCUCCAGAAACUCCAAGCUGGGCGAAGACAUGCGCAUAAGGCUCAAAGCUGCUUAUACCCUUGUGGAGCAGUUGUACACUGGUGCCCAACAGGCUAUUUCUGUUGCAUGCCAUAAGAAGCAACCACCUUCCCUCAUCAAGGAGGUGUUGGAGAAGCUGUCUGUGCUGCCACAAAGGGUUGAGGGAUUGAAGCGAUCAGCCGCCAGAGCCGAUGCCAUCACUGCCCUGAGCCGGGCAAAGGCAUGGCAGCAGAACUUGACCCAGAAGAGAUAUCCAUCAGCUGUCCCAGUUUAA
rnacentral:rRNA from 1 species